GAGCCGUUAGCUCAAUAGGUAGAGCAACUGACUCUUAAUCAGUAGGUCGGGAGUUCGACUCUCCCACGGCUCA
rnacentral:tRNA from 1 species